rnacentral:rRNA from 1 species
CUGGCUCAGGACGAACGCUGGCGGCGUGCCUAAUACAUGCAAGUCGAGCGAACAGAGAAGGAGCUUGCUCCUUCGACGUUAGCGGCGGACGGGUGAGUAACACGUGGGCAACCUACCUUAUAGUUUGGGAUAACUCCGGGAAACCGGGGCUAAUACCGAAUAAUCUGUUUCACCUCAUGGUGAAAUACUGAAAGACGGUUUCGGCUGUCGCUAUAGGAUGGGCCCGCGGCGCAU